UCGAGAACCCUAAAAUCCACCAAACGAUCCAAAAAAAAAUGUGGAUUCGGGAGGUAAUUGGCAAUAAAUUCAAGAAAACUACUGUUAUCUCGAAGGCGAAAAGAUCGAGAGCAAAGGGCUACCUUUUUUGAUAAAGCGGAGGACUCAUACAAGACGAAGAACUCUAGCUUGAGGAAAACUCUAUACAGUUCGGUGUUUGAAAUCUCGGAGCCGUUGGGAUUGAGGGCUCCCU
rnacentral:lncRNA from 1 species